CCUACGGGAGGCAGCAGUAGGGAAUAUUGGUCAAUGGGCGAGAGCCUGAACCAGCCAUGCCGCGUGCAGGAAGAAGGCCCUCUGGGUUGUAAACUGCUUUUGACAGGGGCCAAAAUACUCAUGCGUGAGGAAUUGAGAGUACCUGUAGAAUAAGCACCGGCUAACUCCGUGCCAGCAGCCGCGGUAAUACGGAGGGUGCAAGCGUUGUCCGGAUUUAUUGGGUUUAAAGGGUGCGUAGGUGGCCUUAUAGGUCAGUGGUGAAAGCCUGCAGCUUAACUGUAGGACUGCCAUUGAUACUGUAGGGCUUGAGUACUGAUGAGGUAGGCGGAAUUGAUAGUGUAGCGGUGAAAUGCAUAGAUAUUAUCAAGAACACCGAUUGCGAAGGCAGCUUACUAAGGAGUUACUGACACUGAGGCACGAAAGCGUGGGGAUCAAACAGGAUUAGAUACCCUGGUAGUCCACGCCAUAAACGAUGAUUACUCGAUGUAUGCGAUAGAUAGUAUGCGUCCAAGCGAAAGCGUUAAGUAAUCCACCUGGGGAGUACGACCGCAAGGUUGAAACUCAAAUGAAUUGACGG
rnacentral:rRNA from 1 species